AGGUGCUUUGGAAAUCAUAUAUUGAUUUUGAAAUUGAGCAGGAAGAAACAGAAAGAACACGAAACCUUUACCGGCGGUUGCUUCAACGGACGCAGCAUGUCAAGGAAAAGAAGGAAGUUUGACUAAAUGCAGACAAAUUUAUGAAGAAGCUAACAAAACCAUGCGAAACUGUGAAGAAAAGGAAGAGAGACUUAUGCUGCUGGAAUCUUGGCGAAGUUUUGAAGAAGAAUUUGGAACAGCUUCAGAUAAGGAGAGAGUAGACAAACUCAUGCCAGAGAAAGUCAAGAAGAGAAGAAAGGUCCAGACUGACGAUGGGUCUGAUGCAGGCUGGGAAGAAUACUUUGAUUACAUCUUUCCAGAAGAUGCUGCCAAUCAACCUAACCUCAAACUCCUGGCCAUGGCCAAACUGUGGAAGAAACAGCAGCAGGAAAAGGAGGAUGCUGAGCACCAUCCAGAUGAGGACAUCGAUGAGAGUGAAUCCUGAUCUUUUUUUCAUAUUGACAAAUGUUUUGUUAUUUUUAUAAAUUAAUUGUUUGGAACUCUUGUGACUCCUGGAAGUUCUUAUAUAUUUCACCAGUAAGAAAUUGAUUGGUAUCUUUGAUGGCUACUUUUUAAGUUAUUUUUUAAAUGCUCUUGGGUUAGCUAGGGGUGGGGAUUGCAAGUAAAGGACUUUUU
rnacentral:sRNA from 1 species